rnacentral:lncRNA from 1 species
ACCUUGAUGAAGGGAAUUUUUUAGUUGCAAAGUACUCUGCCUUCUGGUCCAAAAUGCCCACCGGUACAUCUCAUAAGAUAGAUCUUCUGAAAGUGAAAGUGGCUCAUGAGAUAGGAUAUGCGAGGGAUCUGGGUUGUACUUACAUAGCAUAGACACAUGAAAUACGUUAUGGAGACUGGAUAGUUCUAGAGGUAGUGUUAGUCUGUAGGCGGGACGUCCAAUCAUGUCUAAGAUCUCAAACGGUCCAAUAAAUUAGGGAUUUAAUUUUCUCCUCUUACCAAAUUUGCUGAUACUCUUGAAGGGAGUACCAUUAACACCCGAUCACCCUUCUCAAAUUCUAAAUCUCUCUUCCAGGUGUUCGCAUAACUCUUCUGCCUACUCUAAGCUGUCUAGAUGUUCUUCCUGAUUUUAA